rnacentral:rRNA from 1 species
CCCUUAGAUGUUCUGGGCCGCACGCGUGCUACACUGAUGCAUUCAACGAGUCUAAAACCUGGUCUGAUAGGGCUGGGUAAUCUUUUGAAAGUGCAUCGUGAUUGGGAUAGGUGAUUGCAAUUCUUCAUCUUCAACGAGGAAUGCCUAGUAAACGCAAGUCAUCAGCUUGCAUUGAUUACGUCCCUGCCCUUUGUACACACCGCCCGUCGCUCCUACCGAUUGAAUGAUCCGAUGAAUACCAUGGAUUGAGAGUACGAAUAGGUUCGCUUAUUUCUGCUGCUCGAGAAGUGGAGUAAAUCUUAUCAUUUAGAGGAAGGAGAAGUCGUAACA